GACGAACGCUGGCGGCGUGCUUAACACAUGCAAGUCGAACGGAAAGGCCCUGCUUGCAGGGUACUCGAGUGGCGGACGGGUGAGUAACACGUGGGUGAUCUGCCCUGCACUUCGGGAUAAGCCUGGGAAACUGGGUCUAAUACCGGAUAGGAGCCAUUUUUAGUGUGAUGGUUGGAAAGUUUUUUCGGUGUAGGAUGAGCUCGCGGCCUAUCAGCUUGUUGGUGGGGUAAUGGCCUACCAAGGCGGCGACGGGUAGCCGGCCUGAGAGGGUGGCCGGCCACAUUGGGACUGAGAUACGGCCCAGACUCCUACGGGAGGCAGCAGUGGGGAAUAUUGCACAAUGGGCGCAAGCCUGAUGCAGCGACGCCGCGUGGGGGAUGACGGCCCUCGGGUUGUAAACUCCUUUCGCUAGGGACGAAGCUUUUGUGACGGUACCUAGAUAAGAAGCACCGGCUAACUACGUGCCAGCAGCCGCCGUAA
rnacentral:rRNA from 1 species